UCGCUCCCUCUCUCUCUCCCUCCCGCUGCGACCCCUCCUCUCGAUCCACCCCCUCCCGCUGCGACCUCUCUCUUUCCCUCUUUCUCCCACUCCACCGCCGCCGCCCCGCCUCCCGCUUCGCCGCCAAGAGGCUAUCGAGGAGCCGGCAUCGAUAUCCGAGAGGAGUCGCCCUUCGCCGCCGCCGAGAUCCCGUGCAUCUCUACAGAUCCCUCUCGCUCUCCUCUUCGCCCAUCCACCUGGAUCAAAAGUCGAAACCCGCCGCCCCUAUGUCUCUGCUGGUGCUCGACGGAAGACGAGGGCGGCUCCUCCCAGCGAUUCCCCGUGGUCCUCGGCGGAGGCGACGGCUAGGUCAGUCCUCUUUCUCUGGCUCACCCAAUUUGCCUGGGCCGGCGAGCUAGGGUUAGGGUUUCCAGCGAGACGCCGCCGCCCCAUCAUGUUGCAGCUGCAGCGAAAAGACAAUGGGGUGAUGCUCACCUUCGCCGAGGAGAAGAUGCUCACCUUCUCGCCCCUCCCCCUACCGUGAUGUACGUGGAUGAAUCCGACGGCAACGAGGAUGACCUCGUAGGAUCCGGCCACGGUUGUGCGGAAUUUCACGGGGACGAAUCUACCCGGCUUCUCGUCCUAUCCGCCGCCGGUAGAGGCAUCCAUGUCCGAUGGUGUGAAUUUUGGCUGGUUCCAUGAGCACUUCGUUCCCUGCCGUGUAGUCUUCGUUGAUUCGGGAAGAUGGUGGUUGUCUGUUUAGCCAUUUCAAUCUGCUAUUGAUCAUGCUCAUUCUUGUUAUAUUCAGUUAUAUUGGAAACACCAUCUGAUUCAGUUAUAUUCUUGAUCAUGCUCAUGCUCAUCCUUAUUCAAAUAAGAAUACUUCUGUUUGGAGAGCUCGGGCGUCAGCUGUGUGGAAGCACCAGCUGAUUUGUAACUGGUCGGAAGGUCCUUGGGGUUGGGUGCGACAACUCGCGACUCGAAGACAUUUCGUGCAUGUGCUCCCCUGCGCUUGGUGACCAAUACAUCUACUCCGUCAUGAACAUGUGCUUCGUGUCAUACAGGUCGCCUCCAAGGGUGAGCUCGUGCAGCGGUACAGGUUAUGUGCAUUAUUGAUCAGCCAAUCUUGAGAGAGAGAUGGGUUGGCGUGAAUGGGAAGAAAACUACAUUGAAUGGACAAGAAGUAUGCCCUCAACUUUUUCAUGGCAUCGGGAUGCCCACUGCCGACGGUGCUGCAUUGCUACCAAAGGGGCACCCUGCCGCGGCUGGGGACUCGCUGCCGUCGAAGCACGACACCUUGCCGUCACGUAUGUUGGGUGUUGUGGUGCUGCAGGUCCUUGGGGUUGGGUGCGGCAACUCGAGACUCGAAGACGAUCUUCUGUGGUAGGGCGUCGCCGCCGGCGGCGGCACCUGUAUAGACCGUCUCGGUGUGACAGAAGAGUUCGGAGUUCACUCCGAGAAAGAAUUGCUUUGCAUGUACAUUUGCUGAAAGACUGAUGUGCUGAACUUUCGAUGAUUUCGAUUGGUAUUCAACUUGAGGAAUUUCAUACUUUUGGAGUGGAGCUAUCAAAUAUAUGUGUGCUCGAUGUUGGUGUUUUAAUCCGGAUCUCUCGCUGAAGGUGCUCGAUGUUGGUGUUUGAAUACUGCUACUGUACUUCAAGCAAAGUUCUCCUAGAGGUGUGAUGUUGGUGGUGAUUUUCUUAUCCGGGGAUAUGGAUGUGGCGGGUUUGUGGGCACCAUGCUGACGCGGAGAAGGAGGUGCAAGUAGCGGGGCGCUUGAGGUGAGGUGGUUGCAGGGUCGCUCGAGAAGAACAGGCUCAUCAGCACCACCUGGAUGCCUUCGUCAUCAGCAAUGUGGACAAGGUAAAGUGGGAUGGCGGGAUUGUAUAGUGCUCAUAAGCCAGUCCGGGCAUUGUCCUUCCUCGAAUGAAUCUGAGACUACUCCUCAUAUGUUAAUCAGUUGCUCCUCCCUAGCUUUGGUUUGGUCUGAACUUCAAAGCUUUCAUCCACUCAAUGUUGAUUCAGUCAAAGAUCUCUUGGAAAAAUUAUUUCGACAAGAUUCACUCUAUAAUGUUGUUAUCAUUGUCCUCUGGAAUAUAUGGAAGCGCAAAAACUCCAAGGUCUCCCGGGAUGUUUUUGAGGAAUUGCACAUUACUGCUAGCAAGAUUGCUGAUGAUUGAUACCAUGGUCCAACAGGUAUUCACAUGAAAUUAAUAAAUGGCACCUUACGGAUUGGAGUACUCUACUGUAUCACCUAUCUAGGAGAUUUUAAUUUUUUUCCUUCUAUUAUUUCUCUUAAUCCCUGUGUACUCAUUGGACUUUGUAUAGUUCUCAGUUUUAUGAAGUGGUUCAGGCUGGCGUAAGCCGCCAUAGUCCCAGUAAAAAAAGGCUACAAGCUUCGCUUCGGCCUUUCGGAACUGAAUAUUAUGUAGUUUUAUUGAGAUUAUUGAUAGUGCUUCUCUACUAUCAAAGAAGGUAAUAGUCUCUUAUGUGUUUCUUUUUGUCCAUUUGAAUGCACUCCAUUUUUUAGUGUAUUAAUUAACAUCAAACCUCCCAUUCUUUCUAGAGUGCUGAUGUAUUAUUAUUUUCAGCUUAACACAUUUAACUUCCUAUAGAUUUCAUGGUUUAUGCAGAUUAACCGAGCUAAGAAUUUUUGUGAAGCUAAAGCUGGUGUUAAGAUGAACGCCGCUAUGUAUAUAUUUGAAACAGUUAGAUACAUGCUUGACAGACUAUAUAGGGGUGAUCAAAACCAUGCAAAGCAUUAUGGGACAAGUUUCUCUACCUUAAAUAAGUGUUCGUUCUCUCGUGUUUACUAUUCGUUUAAGGGUCAUCAACCCGUGUAUUUAUUUUCAUUGACCAAGUUUUACAUUUUUCUUCAGUAGUGUUCAUUGUGCAGUUCUAGAUUGUUAAGAGAAUAGAGUUUAUUGAUUUAUUACAUGGAGAGACCAGUAGUGUCGUAGUGGUCUUGACAUAAUUGCUAACAUUUUCUACUAGACAAGGUUUAAUUGCACUAAAUACAAAUUAGAACAUGCAUAGACAUUUAUCUUCUUUCUACAGAAUGGUUAGUGUAAACGUACUUUGAGUUGUACAUGAUUCUGUAUCUGACCAUUUUAUCUCAUACGUUGAUGUGGUUGCAGAUAUGAACUUCAAAUUAUCCUGCAAUGUAUUGACUGCUCGGAGCUAACUUCACUACGCCAGUUUUCUUUUAUGGCUCAAAGUAGUUAGUGUCCCCCCUUAUUAUGAGAGAGGUACUACUUCAAACAUCUCUUCUUAAUGUUUUAUGUCAUGGCAUACGGUAUGAGGGAGUGUUAGUUGGCUUGACUUUCGUGGCACUCAUUGAUAACCUUUCAGUUUAGGAGUUUUUGUGGCCUCUUAAUCCAUGAGAGUAUGCUCAUGUUGAAGAAGUUAGUCAUAAUGAGGGGCACCAUAAAUGUUUGUUAUCUGGCACAAAUUUCUAAUGAAUAUCACAUGUGAACCUUUUACUGUUGUGUUAUUCAAAUUUCAUUGUACUAUUCAUACAGUAAAAUAUGAGUGCCAUGUCAAAAUAUGGUUCUCGAUCUGAAAGAUCAUAUUCGAAAUUGCAGGUUCUAUGGCAGUGGAGUAAUGUUCGUAAAUUAUAUAUUGCUUUCAAGUUUGGAGCUGGAAUAAUAUAUGUGCUGCAUUUAGUUAUAGUCUUAUAGAUAUACAUGAACAUCCAUUGUAUAUUUCUUGCAAGACAUGGUAACUACUAUUAUUUUGAUUGUUUCUGUGAACUAUUUUGACCUUGAUUAAGAAGUAGAAAGUUUUUAGCCUCGUAGGUUGUUUGAUCUACUGUAUCAAGUGGCACUUGGCUUCU